AGAACUUAGCAGAGAUGCUUUGGUGGCCUUUCGGGAACUCUGAGACAGGUGCUGCAUGGCUGUCGUCAGCUCGUGUUGUGAAAUGUUGGGUUAAGUCCCGCAACGAGCGCAACCCUUAUCCUUUGUUGCCAGCGGUCCGGCCGGGAACUCAAAGGAGACUGCCAGUGAUAAACUGGAGGAAGGUGGGGAUGACGUCAAGUCAUCAUGGCCCUUACGAGUAGGGCUACACACGUGCUACAAUGGCGCAUACAAAGAGAAGCGACCUCGCGAGAGCAAGCGGACCUCAUAAAGUGCGUCGUAGUCCGGAUUGGAGUCUGCAACUCGACUCCAUGAAGUCGGAAUCGCUAGUAAUCGUGGAUCAGAAUGCCACGGUGAAUACGUUCCCGGGCCUUGUACACACCGCCCGUCACACCAUGGGAGUGGGUUGCAAAAGAAGUAGGUAGCUUAACCUUCGGGAGGGCGCUUACCACUUUGUGAUUCAUGACUGGGGUGAAGUCGUAACAAGGUAAGCGUAGUGCU
rnacentral:rRNA from 1 species